rnacentral:rRNA from 1 species
CCUACGGGAGGCAGCAGUGAGGAAUAUUGGUCAAUGGACGAGAGUCUGAACCAGCCAAGUAGCGUGAAGGAUGACUGCCCUAUGGGUUGUAAACUUCUUUUAUAUGGGAAUAAACUGUUCCACGUGUGGGUUUUUGUAUGUACCAUAUGAAUAAGGAUCGGCUAACUCCGUGCCAGCAGCCGCGGUAAUACGGAGGGUCCGAGCGUUAUCCGGAUUUAUUGGGUUUAAAGGGAGCGUAGGCGGAUUGUUAAGUGAGUUGUGAAAUGUUGCGGCUCAACCGUGAAAUUGCAGUGGAAACUGGGAGUCUUGAGUGCGGUAGAGGUAGGCGGAAUUCGUGGUGUAGCGGUGAAAUGCUUAGAUAUCACGAAGAACUCCGAUUGCGAAGGCAGUUCACUGUACUGCAACUGACGCUGAGGCUCGAAAGUGUGGGUAUCAAACAGGAUUAGAUACCCUGGUAGUC